AGAAUUUGAAAGAAUGGGUACCAGUAAGUACCAGUGUUUUCAUAGCACCACGGUCACAUAUUUUCCCAAUGUUUGCCUGUGUUCCCCCUGGCAUGCCACAGUGCAGGUUGUCCCAGUGUGGGGUUGUACGGGCCGUGUCAGGUGUCCACUGGGGAGCUGUAGGCUGCAGAGCACACAAGCGUCAGCUGCCUCAUUUACUGCCACUAAUUUACUGGAAGUGGGUUGUGUGGGGGCACAGGGGGUAGGGUGCGUGUUUGCUUUACACAUGUCUGUGUGUGUGUGUGUGUGUGUGUGGUAGCCUGCAAGCAUGUGUGCCUGCAUGGUUAACCACUGUAGGGCCAUUAUUGUAAUUACUGUAGCAAGAAGCUUAGUGAAGUAAGUUUUACAAUGAAUCAUUUAAGUUUUAAUAAUGAUUUUUACAAUUACCAACAGAAAAAAGUUCUUGCUUGUUUCAGAAAUAUUGGAAUAUCUGAGUUCUUAUGUACUUGUAACUAUAAUAUUACCAGAGGUUUGAUACUAGUAGAAAUAAGCAUGCUAUACAUAUAUUGAUACUUUCAUUUAAGAAGUUAUUGUGGAAAGGGUUUUUCCACAAAAUAUCCACACACUAGCUGCCUAAAAUCACUAAUUCCAAAUUGGGAUUCAUUUAAAGUUGUAAAAAAGUUAAUCUAUCAAAUAUUGUGUGUGUCAUGUUACUCCAGCUCUUCAUUGAAGCUAUCUGAUGAGUGACCUGUCUUCAAAUCUUUCUUCAGAUCUCCACACAAAUUUCAAAUAGUUUCUGAGGUUUGAACACAGUUCGACUGCACAUCAUGAGAAGUUUGAAAUAAGCAAUGAUAUGAUUAAAGAAUAUUUGGUCUCAGCUUUUGGUACAUGACAGUCAAUGCUGCGUACAUUUUUCGUUUGGUACAAAAAAAAGCAUUGAGGUUCAAUUCCCAGUUCUAACAAAUAGUAAGUAACAAAUAAUAAUUUGUUUUUCUGUAAUGGUACUUGUUUUUUCAUUGUGUACAGAUGUGUGCAUGUGCUGUAUGAGUGAGUUUGUCAGAGAUGUUAAGCAAGCCAUUGGCAUGUGGCUCUUGCACAACAAAUCCAAGCAGUCCACCGUGCCUCUCUCAACCCCACAAUCACCCUCUCAUCCCUUGCCCCCCUCCUGCACUGCAGCUGCAGUAUGUGUGAGUGUGUGUUUGACCACCCAUGGUGUGUGCUGGCCAGGGAUUAGGGGGCUCAGGCUAACCCAAACCUUUUUCUCCACCACUUAACGCAAAUGGCUAAAUUGAUGCAGAUGGCUUAUGGUCAGGUCUACAGGGAGGUCGUACGGCCCAGGUCAUUGAAGUUGUUUGGCAUCUUCCUGGAUCCAUGAACGAUUCUUGAGCUUGGACCAGAUCCUGUGAGGGCUGCGAUGGUGACGUACCAAACCCCCAGGCACCCCCACCCCACCCAGAAUUCUGCUGAACAUAUGCUGGGCUGGCACCGACUCUUCCAGUAAGAGAUCCAGGAAAACGUGUUGUCCUUGGACACCGUUGCUACAGCAGUAUCAGCGGGAAAUACUUGAGACCGAGAGUAAGGAGAUGAGGGGCCAGGAGCUGUUUCAUCAUAUGAUGAGAGAGACAUCUCUGAACACUUACUCCAUGUGUGAUUUCAUUUUGGUUCCAAAUUCCAAACAUCUGCCCUUGUUCUCUCACGUAGGAUUCAUCAGUGCAGUGUUCCUCAUACAGGUUCUGGUCCUGCAAGAUCUAAUUAUCUUUAGUCUUAUUGUUGCUUUUAAUUCAUACUGAUGUAAUAAAAGCUAUUAUCAGGAAUGAGGAGAACGUGUGUGUGUGUGUGUGUCUGAAAUACAGUGUGUAAAAGGCCUACGGCUGCAGGAAUUUUGCACCAGUCAGUGUAAGAUUGAUAAGACUUCCAUAGUUAAAUAUUUACCUUCCUUUCCGGUCUCCUAAGCAAUGCAGCAGAAACGUUUCAAGUGAAAAAAAGAAAAAAAUAAGACGCAACGCACCUCUUCUUCCUGAGUGGCCCACUCAGGAGGAAGUGUGCAGGUCCGGAAACGUUCGAUAUGAGGAGAAGAAACCUCUUGAAAAUAGCAGGCAGGGGUUAAUGCCUUAUUGAAAAAGAUGCUAUUUGAAACAUUUUUAAAUAGUAGCCCCAACUAACUGCAGACAUGGUGCAAAGAACACGUAUCAAGAGUAUCUGGGCAAAAGCUGCUGUUCCUAUGACAAAAAAUAAUGAUGCGCAAGAAGGCAUUUUUAAGACAUAUAAUAAUACUUAAAGAUACAACACAGAAACCGGAAUCAGCUGGGAUUC